AGCAGUGUUUAUUUAACAGAUAUGCGUUUACAGAAUGAGAAUUAAAAUUUAUCUCAAACAAAUAUUUUGGACAUUAUCAAAAUUAGUAAAAGAAGCAGUAAUCUGAGAUAGAUUGACAUAGUAUCUGUCUAAGAUAAUGUAUUCAACACCUUCUUUGUCCCAAAACAAUUUGCCAAUCGACGUCUUCCCAUCAUGGAACCAUUCCUUGCAAAACUGUCUCUCUCAAAUAAUCACCUCAAGGAAUUGUAUUGUGCACAGAGUCAGAUUGUUUGCCUAGGGUACUAGACAAGAGUUCAGGUUAGGCCUAUUCGUAGAGCCUUGGACUCUGUUCUGUAAAAUGAGGUUUGUGGGAGUGAUAUGUGUGUGAGAGGCAAUGACUAGAUUUUCAACAAUGACUAGAUUUUUGCCUUCUGCGCUAAGGUAAGCAGGAAUGAAACAUAACCAGACACUUAGGAAUGCAAACAUGAUAAAGGUAAUGUAUUGUCCCUCAUUGAGUGUCUAGUACCUGAGUGUUGUGGGUUUGGAGGAGGCUGAGAGCUGAAUGUGGAGAAGAGUCUGUAACGAGAAUAUACCCCAACACGCAGGAUUCAGCUAAACAGAAGACAACACAGAGGAGAGAUACGUCUACCGGACCUUAGAAUGGCCGGACUCGACGUAUAUGAGAGGAGGCAGAGUCAGGAACGAUCGGAAGUCAAGGACACAGAGAGACAGUGGAAACUAGGACUAGCCGGGGUCUGGUACACAGUAAACAGGAAGCCGACAACCAGAACAGUUAAGGAUAAAGAGAAAAUGUAGUCAGAAACAAAGCCAAAGUCAAUACGGAGAAAACACAACUGAACACAACAAGCGCUAAAGGGAACUGAAACAGAAACCACGAUAGGGCAGGGAGUAAAGGGAGAGGUAAGUUUAAAUAGCUUCUAAACUAAUGUGAUUGGCUCCUGUCAUAUCCACACCCCCAAAAGGUAAGUGUAUGGGGAGUGUGGCAUGCCAGGGGCCAAUGGGAGCCUUUUAACAAUUUAGGCUCCCACUGUCUCUUUAAGAGCGCGCCCGAGACUCGCGGCGCGCUCUUAGAUUCAGGCGGGACACGUGACCGCUUCCUGCGGUCACUGCCCGCCUUCCUAGUGAAGCCGUCGGAUGAGCCACGCGCGGCUCGUGCAGCAGCAGGACCGCGCGCGGCUCGAAGAGAGGACCGCGGCCGGCCCCUGGAUAAGGUAAGUAACGCUACAGAGCCUUAGUGUGUCUGUAUGUGCUGGUGAGUGUUGUGUGAGUGGUGGCUGAAAAAGAAGGCAAAUCAAGAAACAGAGAAGAGAGAAUAAGGAGAAAAAAAGGAAAUCUUUUAAUGUGUUGGAUAGACCGAUAAAUGAAAUUGAAAUGUUCCUACAUGAAAAGGGACGUACAUUUGAUUUCUUUAUAGACUUACAUAAAUUUAACAGAAAAUUACAUCUAAGAGAUAUUUUCAGGAACAUAAUUAUACCAACAAACAGGAUGUAGGUGACUAUAAGCAUACAGACCUUCACCCAAAAUCUGUCUUCUGUCCACACAAUACGUAGGGGUCUAUAUUAACGUCUUUGAGACAGUAGUAAAAGAGUUUAGAUCAUUAAAAAUAGAUCAAAGAUAGGCACAAUUUUUCCCCAUAUCACACACUCGGAUCAGGUGGGAUUUGUGGCUGAGAGGAAAGGAUCGGAAAACACACAUAAAGUACUCGAUGUGCUUCACGUGGGAGAGGCAUUGGUCAUAUCCCUUCACGCCGAAAAGGUCUUUGACCGUCUCCAUUGGACAUUUUUGGAGGCUGUCAUGGGCAAGUUUGUAGUCCCAGAGGAGUUCCUGGUGGUGGUAAGGGCACUGUACAGUAUGGCGACAAAUCAUACUUUGAUCACAUACAGAGAAUGUUGGUAUAAUUUAUAUGGACAAAACGGAAAAUAAAAGGUAUGCAUCCAGUGUGGCAGAACCGAGGCCUAAAAGUUGGGGGACGGCCAUCAGGUGGCCUUCACACGUAAGGCCACCUGAUGGGCAUCUCUGACCAGGUGCCUGGAUGGAUGCCACAACUCAUGUAACCGGGUCAUGUCAGAUUGGCAGUUUGGCCACUGCUGGGAGGACCAGCGCAUACAGGGAGCUGUAACCCAUAUUGGUUACCUGAAUGUGAAGUUUUCUUUCCUUUUAAAAAAAAAAUCAAAUACCUUUGACAGUUUUUUUGAAGCAGUCUUAAUAUCCAUUGUUUGUCUAUUGCAGAAGUGACCUUGCAUGGUGGAGUAUGCAGUAAGUAUAGCCAGUGAAAAACAUCAAUACAUAUAUGAAUAACAUUUUGCAAAUAAUAUUUUUGUAUUCUUAGAAAACUUAAACCUAAAAUGUUUUCUAAUUUUAUCUAAAUCAAACAGAAAUGGAUUGGACAAUCAAUAUAUAGAAAUAUUUGUUUCCAUUUUUUAUUGAAUAAUUCAAAAAUGGAAACCUGUCUCUCUUUUUUCCAGAUCAUGCCAUAGAUUUUGAAUUACUUUAGUUAAUAGUCAUGCUACAUUUGCAAACACAAACUGUCGGCCUAUUUCGGAGUGUUACAUAAUACAGAGAAAUCACAGUAGAUCUGAAAGAAUUUUUAGUCUUUAUUCACAAAACAAUAAACUGUGAUGUACUGAACAAGGAAUAUGGAACAUUUAGAUCAACAUAGCCAAUGUGUAGGUAGCAAGUAGGUGAGCUGGAGAAUUUAUAAUAAUCACCAACUUUGGUCAAUAUUCAGUAUGAUUAGUAAAUAAACAUACAGUUUCCAAAGUCUUAGGCGAGUUAGUUGCAGUGAUCCGUUGUACAACACCGUGUUGCGGGUUCACUCAUCUGCAUUAUUCUACAGUUAGCUUCUGUUGCACAUCCUCGAGUAAAAAUGACU